rnacentral:rRNA from 1 species
UACGUAGGUGGCAAGCGUUGUCCGGAAUUAUUGGGCGUAAAGCGCGCGCAGGUGGUUUCUUAAGUCUGAUGUGAGAGCCCACGGCUCAACCGUGGAGGGUCAUUGGAAACUGGGGAACUUGAGUGCAGGAGAGAAGAGUGGAAUUCCACGUGUAGCGGUGAAAUGCGUAGAGAUGUGGAGGAACACCAGUGGCGAAGGCGACUCUUUGGCCUGUAACUGACACUGAGGCGCGAAAGCGUGGGGAGCAAACAGG